GUUAGGUGAAAAGGAGAAGGAAGAAGAAAAGGAACAUGAGAAAAAAAAUACCUCAGCCUCAAAGACAAAGGCAAAACUAAACAUGCGGACUCCUUAAGCCCCUGUUGACUGAUUUUACUUUCCACAGUUUCAGUGAGGCAUGGUCAAGCACUACGCAGAAAUACGAAAUGGCAAAUUUCAAGCAAUAACCAGUUGGGACUGCACUAUGAGUGAUGUAAUGCUCCAUAAGACAAACAACCCCUGCCCCCUCACACAAAUAAUACAGAGACUAUAUUCUACUUUGUGUGGCCUCAGAAAGUAAUGAGAGCAGAAUGAUCAAGCUAAGAUGUAUUAGACGCCC
rnacentral:lncRNA from 1 species